rnacentral:rRNA from 1 species
AGAGUUUGAUCAUGGCUCAGGACGAACGCUGGCGGCGUGCCUAAUACAUGCAAGUCGAGCGGGGAUUAUGCUUGAUCGCUUCGGUGAGACGGCAUAUAUCCUAGCGGCGGACGGGUGAGUAACGCGUGGGUAAUCUACCUCGUAGUUCGGGAUAACAGGCCGAAAGGCUUGCUAAUACCGGAUGAGUUCAUGCUUAUGCAUAUAGGCAUGAAGAAAGGGCUAGCCCGCUAUGAGAUGAGCCCGCGUCCCAUUAGCUUGUUGGUGGGGUAAUGGCCUACCAAGGCAACGAUGGGUAGCCGGCCUGAGAGGGUGUACGGCCACACUGGGACUGAGACACGGCCCAGACUCCUACGGGGGGCAGCAGUAGGGAAUUUUCGGCAAUGGGCGAAAGCCUGACCGAGCGACGCCGCGUGAGGGACGAAGGCCUUCGGGUUGUAAACCUCUGUCUGGGGGGAUGAGAACGGACGGUACCCCCGGAGGAAGCCCCGGCUAACUACGUGCCAGCAGCCGCGGUAAU